UAGUUCAUUAAUUAUAUGCUAACGAUUUAUAUCUUUUUCGUGCAUCUAAUUAGCUAGUCGUCUUUAAGUGCUUAUACAGAACACGCCCUGAGCCAGCAUAGUGUGGCCGAUCUGCUCACGCAUGCAGUACAGCUGACAGUGAGGCUGCCACGAGUGACUGGCAGACAGACAGCUCCAGAGGCUUCAUCUCCAAGCCUGCUCUGCAAUGAAACCUCGAUUAUUCUUCUCCUCCUUCCCUGACCCCGUCCAACUCCAACCUACCGCUUUCUUAUUUUUUCCCCAAAGGUUCUCCAACCAAAUGGAUCGAUUAUUGCAGCAUCAGACCAGAGUCUAGUAGAGUACUUAACGCUGCGAAUUGCCAGGGAUGCAGUAGCUACAAACAAACAAUCUGGUUAUCGUCUGGUGGCCAUGAUUAGCAUCGCUAAUCAAAACAAAGCAUCUGAGAGGGGCCUAAUUGAUCAGGAGGAGAUGAGAUGAGAUGAGAUUCCUUGCCCUUGUUUAAGCAGGGGAGAGGGAGCAGUGUAGGGGCCACGCCGUCGUCGUCUCCACUGUCCAGUGUCCACUCGCAUCGCAUCUGGCUCUCUGGCUGGCAGGCUUGCAGCUAUGGGCAAAUCGUGGAGACCAUGCCGGUGUACCGCAGGAGAUGGCUACUUGUUGCCUUGUGCCCUUGUUGGCAAUGGCAAUACCUGGCUCUGUACUGGGUCUGGGACUCAUCAGUCUAUGAUUAGUUCUCUUCCAAAAGUUAAAAUCAGCAACUUGCUCGUUUUUCAUUUGCACGUAUUUCGAACAGUUAAAUAACGUGUUUUGUGUAAAAGUUUUGUAUACAAUUUUUUAAAAGAUCGAUUUAAACCAUUUUUAAAUAUAA